rnacentral:rRNA from 1 species
CCUACGGGAGGCAGCAGUGAGGAAUAUUGGUCAAUGGACGCAAGUCUGAACCAGCCAUGCCGCGUGCAUGAAGACGGCUCUCUGAGUUGUAAACUGCUUUUGUACGAGGGUAAACGCAGAUACGCGUAUCUGUCUGAACGUCUCCUACGAAUGUGGAUCGGCUAACUGCGUGCCGGCAGCCGCGGUAAUACGGAGGAAUCAAGCGUUAUCCGGAUUUAGUGGGGUUAAAGGGUGCGUAGGCGGUCGGAUAAGUUAGAGGUGAAAUCCCGAGGCUCAACUUCGGAAUUGCCUCUGAUACUGUUCGGCUAGAGAGUAGUUGCGGUAGGCGGAAUGUAUGGUGUAGCGGUGAAAUGCGUAGAGAUCAUACAGAACACCGAUUGCGAAGGCAGCUUACCAAGCUAUUUCUGACGUUGAGGCACGAAAGCGUGGGGAGCAAACAGGAUUAGAUACCCGUGUAGUC